rnacentral:pre_miRNA from 1 species
AUCUCCUGGGGGCUUGUUAAAAUGUAGGUUCUGAUUUAGUAGUUCUAUGAAGGGGCCUGAGAUCCUGCAUUUUUAGCAAAUUCCCAGGUGGUGUCAA